GCAGAUUACAAGUUUGUGUGAUUCAACCACAUGUCUUUUAUUUUCCUUCUUUUUACAAAUAAUAAAAAAAAGCAGGUAGACGUCAUUAAAUAAAACUUUACAACUUUGACCUUAAUCUUCGGAAUGGAAGACAUUGCCAUAUUAACUGAAUGAAUAACACAUUCAAUCUAAUAACUGUUGAGUUGUUUAACAAAGACGCUUCACCUCCAGUACAAUGUAGCAAAGCAAAAUGAUGAAAUUCUUUAGUCUCUUUUAGUAUGCAGACUGUUGACUA